rnacentral:misc_RNA from 1 species
CCUCAGAUUGCUGUUCCAACAUACAUAUUUCACUUAAACCUAAUUUUCCUGUUCUGUUCUGUAAUGUUACUUCAUGAUCCUUUUGGUUCGAUACUUUGACUUGAAUAUAGAUCCUUUUUUUACUUUCAAAUGGUCUUGAAAUGGUAAGCAUCCAUUAAAAAAAGGUUAACCAUCAAAUUCCUCGUCUUUUGUUGAUGCUAAGCAUUAGAUUCCUCCACUUCUUGGGCCAAUCGAGUCGGUAACCGGGACUUAUAAUGGAAAGUAACUCUGGAGUGCAAAGGCUGCCUAGCCCUUAGCUUAGGUCAUGGAGAGUGAUAGUUCAGAAAUGAACUGUUUUUGCUGGUGAACAAAAAUGACACAUUAGAUGCCGUAUAUUCGGUCAAUAAUGCCUGGUUUUUUUUUGCAAGAAUAAUGGCUGAUAUUCACGAGGUCUUGGUUCAUUGUUCGGCUGCUGUGUUCAGUGGCGCACUUUCUAGUUGCCUUUUGUUUAGACACGAAGCAAUGGUCCUAACGACACAUAAUUUUUUUUUAUGUCUUCAAAGACUUGGUUCGGCUGCCGCCCAGGUUGAGCAGCAGCAGGCGCAGUACUGCAGUGCAAUGGAUAGGACAAGAGACUUGAUAUGGCACCACUUUGUCAGGUUACUCGCGAGGAUUGGAGACAGAACAUCGACGGUGGAGCCCGAAGUCCCGUUGCAGGCAACAUUUUUUUUCCCUUUGCUUUCCACAAGACCACAGCCAUGGCACAGGGAACUCCACCUACAUCCAAUGGCCGAAGUGCCUUCCUUUUGGUUGUUUACUGCACUUGUGGAAAACUUUCUCCCUGCUCAUAGCACAUUCGAGAAAAGCUGGCAGCUCCGGUACUCCACCCAUUCUCCGGUGAAUGCUGAAUCUAUUCCCAAUCAUGCUGUCCAUUUUACUAAGGGG